GACUGCAAUCAUACCAUAACUAAUGCACCGGAUCCUAUCAGAACUCCACAGUUAAGCGUGCUUGGGUGAGAGUAAUACUGCGAUGGGUGACCUCCUGGGAAGUUCUCGUGUUUCACCCC
rfam:Cephalotus follicularis DNA, scaffold: scaffold24, isolate: St1.